ensembl:snoRNA SNORA75 Small nucleolar RNA SNORA75
ACCUUCUCAUGAGCUCCUCUUAAACAAACCCAUGUUUAUGUUUGGAUUCGCACGAGAAGCAGAGCCAGUGCACAGGUUAAACAUGCUCACCCAAACCUUGUGGGUUUUUGCACAUGUCUGCUGUGCAACAUUU